GAUGAACGCUGGCUGUGUGCCUAAUACAUGCAUGUCGAGCGAGGUUAGCAAUAACCUAGCGGCGAAUGGGUGAGUAACACGUGCUUAAUCUACCUUUUAGAUUGGAAUACCCAUUGGAAACAAUGGCUAAUGCCGGAUACGCAUGGAACCGCAUGGUUCCGUUGUGAAAGGCGCUGUAAGGCGCCACUAAAAGAUGAGGGUGCGGAACAUUAGUUAGUUGGUGAGGUAAUGGCCCACCAAGACUAUGAUGUUUAGCCGGGUCGAGAGACUGAACGGCCACAUUGGGAUUGAGAUACGGCCCAAACUCCUACGGGAGGCAGCAGUAGGGAAUAUUCCACAAUGAGCGAAAGCUUGAUGGAGCGACACAGCGUGCACGAUGAAGGUCUUCGGAUUGUAAAGUGCUGUUAUAAGGGAAGAACAUUUGCAAUAGGAAAUGAUUGCAGACUGACGGUACCUUGUCAGAAAGCGAUGGCUAACUAUGUGCCAGCAGCCGCGGUAAUACAUAGGUCGCAAGCGUUAUCCGGAAUUAUUGGGCGUAAAGCGCUCGUAGGCUGUUUGCUAAGUCUGGAGUUAAAUCCCGGGGCUCAACCCCUGCUCGCUUUGGAUACUAGCAAACUAGAGUUAGAUAGAGGUAAGCGGAAUUCCAUGUGAAGCGGUGAAAUGCGUAGAUAUAUGGAAGAACACCAAAGGCGAAGGCAGCUUACUGGGUCUAUACUGACGCUGAGGGACGAAAGCGUGGGGAGCAAACAGG
rnacentral:rRNA from 1 species